rnacentral:misc_RNA from 1 species
GUAUAAGUUUUAAAGGGUCAAUGAAGUCCCAAUACAACGACAUUCUUAAACAUACUUGAAAUAGUUUUGUAAAGACAUAGAAGCCUCUGCCAGAUCAACUCACACCAUAAGUCCAAGUUGACCAACAAGAAAGCAUCUACAAAAAGUGCACAGGUGGAUAAUAAAUCGGUCAAGUCGCAAAAAAAAGUGCACAUGUCUUCCAUAGAAAGACCAGCAAAAAACAUUUGUUUGCUCCAAUAACCUUUAUAUCUCAAUAAUGAUCCUUCCGCAGGUUCACCUACGGAAA